rnacentral:rRNA from 1 species
AUUGAACGCUGGCGGCAUGCCUUACACAUGCAAGUCGAACGGCAGCACGGGAGCAAUCCUGGUGGCGAGUGGCGAACGGGUGAGUAAUAUAUCGGAACGUGCCCAGUCGUGGGGGAUAACGUAGCGAAAGCUACGCUAAUACCGCAUACGAUCUAUGGAUGAAAGCGGGGGAUCGCAAGACCUCGCGCGAUUGGAGCGGCCGAUAUCAGAUUAGGUAGUUGGUGAGGUAAAGGCUCACCAAGCCGACGAUCUGUAGCUGGUCUGAGAGGACGACCAGCCACACUGGGACUGAGACACGGCCCAGACUCCUACGGGAGGCAGCAGUGGGGAAUUUUUGGGACAAUGGGCGCAAGCCUGAUCCAGCAAUGCCGCGUGCAGGAUGAAGGCCUCGGUUGUAACU